AUGCGCGGGCACGCCUGGCACGCAGCCGAAGGCUCUGGCGACGAAGGCCAAGCAAGGGCAGACGAACUUCUUCACGAACCUAUGCAUGGCGCCGCCGCGGCGUGUCCCGAGCGGCCCCGGCGACCGCCGACGAUAGCGAUGAUGGGCGACGCGCGUGUACAUCCGCGACGCCGUCGUCACGGCCCCCGCCUCCGACGAGCGGACAUUGCCGUCCCGAAACGCCUCGAAGAGGACCAUGUCCUCGAAGCUCACGUAUCCCAGAUCACCGUCGCGGCGACGCCUGUCGAAGCAGACCUCGGCUUCGUCGCUGCCGGCGCACUGCACGCGGCCGACGCGCACGUCCUCGUGGGAGCGCGUCCGCAGCAGGCCAUUGUUGUUGUUGUUGUUGUUGUUGGGGAAGGAGCCGUCGCUGCUGCUGCCCUGCGCGCAGGAGAGGAGGUCGCCGGCGUUGUCGUUGUGGUGGUGGGCGAGGAGAGGCUGGGAGCGGGAGUGGGAGAUCGGCAUCGGAGGCGUGAGGCGGCGGCGGCACUAGGAGGCGGCGGCGGCGGCGAGAACGAGGACUGUGAACUGUGA
rnacentral:rRNA from 1 species